GCUUUCCUGUGGCUCAGUUGGUACAGCAUUGCACUAACAACACAUAGGUUGUGGGUUCAAAUCCCAGGGAAAGCA